rnacentral:rRNA from 1 species
UAUGAACGCUGGCGGCGUGCUUAACACAUGCAAGUCGAACGGUGAAGCCAAGCUUGCUUGGUGGAUCAGUGGCGAACGGGUGAGUAACACGUGAGCAACCUGCCCUGGACUCUGGGAUAAGCGCUGGAAACGGCGUCUAAUACUGGAUAUGAGCCUCUUCCGCAUGGUGGGGGUUGGAAAGAUUUUUUGGUCUGGGAUGGGCUCGCGGCCUAUCAGCUUGUUGGUGAGGUAAUGGCUCACCAAGGCGUCGACGGGUAGCCGGCCUGAGAGGGUGACCGGCCACACUGGGACUGAGACACGGCCCAGACUCCUACGGGAGGCAGCAGUGGGGAAUAUUGCACAAUGGGCGAAAGCCUGAUGCAGCAACGCCGCGUGAGGGAUGACGGCCUUCGGGUUGUAAACCUCUUUUAGCAGGGAAGAAGCGAAAGUGACGGUACCUGCAGAAAAAGCGCCGGCUAACUACGUG